rnacentral:tRNA from 5 species
UGGCCCAGUGGCUCAGUUGGUUAGAGCGCCGCCCUGUCACGGCGGAGGUCGUCGGUUCGAGUCCGAUCUGGGUCGU